rnacentral:rRNA from 1 species
UGCUAACGUCCGUCGUGAAGAGGGAAACAACCCAGACCGCCAGCUAAGGUCCCAAAGUCAUGGUUAAGUGGGAAACGAUGUGGGAAGGCCCAGACAGCCAGGAUGUUGGCUUAGAAGCAGCCAUCAUUUAAAGAAAGCGUAAUAGCUCACUGGUCGAGUCGGCCUGCGCGGAAGAUGUAACGGGGCUAAACCAUGCACCGAAGCUGCGGCAGCGACGCUGAUGCGUUGUUGGGUAGGGGAGCGUUCUGUAAGCCUGUGAAGGUGUGCUGUGAGGCAUGCUGGAGGUAUCAGAAGUGCGAAUGCUGACAUAAGUAACGAUAAAGCGGGUGAAAAGCCCGCUCGCCGGAAGACCAAGGGUUCCUGUCCAACGUUAAUCGGGGCAGGGUGAGUCGACCCCUAAGGCGAGGCCGAAAGGCGUAGUCGAUGGGAAACAGGUUAAUAUUCCUGUACUUGGUGUUACUGCGAAGGGGGGACGGAGAAGGCUAUGUUGGCCGGGCGACGGUUGUCCCGGUUUAAGCGUGUAGGCUGGUUUUCCAGGCAAAUCCGGAAAAUCAAGGCUGAGGCGUGAUGACGAGGCACUACGGUGCUGAAGCAACAAAUGCCCUGCUUCCAGGAAAAGCCUCUAAGCAUCAGGUAACAUCAAAUCGUACCCCAAACCGACACAGGUGGUCAGGUAGAGAAUACCAAGGCGCUUGAGAGAACUCGGGUGAAGGAACUAGGCAAAAUGGUGCCGUAACUUCGGGAGAAGGCACGCUGAUAUGUAGGUGAAGCGACUUGCUCGUGGAGCUGAAAUCAGUCGAAGAUACCAGCUGGCUGCAACUGUUUAUUAAAAACACAGCACUGUGCAAACACGAAAGUGGACGUAUACGGUGUGACGCCUGCCCGGUGCCGGAAGGUUAAUUGAUGGGGUCAGCGCAAGCGAAGCUCUUGAUCGAAGCCCCGGUAAACGGCGGCCGUAACUAUAACGGUCCUAAGGUAGCGAAAUUCCUUGUCGGGUAAGUUCCGACCUGCACGAAUGGCGUAAUGAUGGCCAGGCUGUCUCCACCCGAGACUCAGUGAAAUUGAACUCGCUGUGAAGAUGCAGUGUACCCGCGGCAAGACGGAAAGACCCCGUGAACCUUUACUAUAGCUUGACACUGAACAUUGAGCCUUGAUGUGUAGGAUAGGUGGGAGGCUUUGAAGUGUGG